CUGGGGAGCAAGGAACGGACGUGUCAACUGCGGGAUCGGCUGUUGCAUUCUGGAGGCUUGACUUCAUGCCGAUCGUGGAUGAAGGAGGCAGAGUCCCCUUCUGGGAGCUGCUGACGGCCACCAGCUAGAAGGCAUAAGCCUCGGACUCGGCCGAUGCCAUCCUCCAACUCGAGACACGAUCGGGACCAAGUGGGGCAAAGACAAAGGAGCGGCUGGACUUCAUCGUGGUGAAGGCCGCUGUUCUCCCGAGUGCGGGGGGCAGUGGCCCGUCCGGCUGUCUGUCGGUGCCCUGGGUUGCAUCCUGACCGAUUCCCUGGCGUAUUGUUUUACAGGAGCAGGUUAGGACUCGAACUAGCGAUCGCUUUCACUUAUGAACCAUUUAAUGAUCUGCUCACAAACCCUUUUCUUCCUGCCCCCGAGUUGGGGACCCUGGAUUUAGAAACUGUCGGACCCCCGGGGUGAGGGCUGCUUGCUUCCACCCGCAAACGCAACAGUGCUCCCCCUGCAUUGAAGCCCCGACUGCCUCCUGGGAUACCAGUCACUGCAAAUCACUGGAAGAGGGAGCUGUGCCUGUGACCAUCUUGGAGGAGAGAACUGGGUGGGGCCCAGCGACCCUAGCCCUGGGACAGGAAGCAGAGACUGGAGACUUCCUGCUUUUGGUUCAUCCUGACGGAGUCUGCAGGGAGGACGAUGUUUCAAGAAGAGAGGUCACAAAGGACAUCUACAGGAUGCUUUCAACGUUAGGGGUGGCGACAUCACGAUGUGCUACAUCAUGAAAGAAGGAUGAAAGAAUCUACGUAGCACAGGACAUUGGGCUCGGUAUUCGAGUUCACAUGACAUUCCAGGCUGGCUCUGAACGGGAUAGAACUGUUGUCCAGAAAAUGUUGGCCAAGUUGUGCUCGGCUGUGAGAAGUCGGUUCUCAUGUUCUCUGGCGUGUGAGAGAAUGCUCUGUCUUUCUCCAUAAACCCCAAGGGAAGGUAAAUGAGUUGGGGAGGGGGUGGUUUCCUGAUGCUGCAGGCAAUGAAAGGCGCCUUCAUACCUCUGUUGUUCAGCACCAUUAACCUUCCCGGUAAUUGGAACACACGAAAGGGGGAGGUGAGUGAGAGCAGAGCUCUGGUCUCUUUCCUGGCAGGUACAAUUACUUAAGCCUCCCAGUAAAGGAUCGGCUUUAGAUUCCUACCCGGAGCCACCACUUUCAAAUCACUCCCUACAAAAUCAACCACAGCCACCACUUAAAAAAAAAAAAAAAAAAAAAUCUAAUGAUAUAAUCAUUUCUUUCUUCUGAUCCUUGCCUGGGGAUGAGAAGUGUACCCAACAAGAUAAGGUGGGCGUUUGUUGCAUAAUUCAUGUAACUGAUCCAGUCCAUCACGCAGAAAAUGUAACAACAAAAAAAGGAGGUCUUAAAGGCUGACCACGUGAGACCCGUUUAGGAUUCAAAGUCAUUUUAGACUGCCAGGCAAAAAUAGGUUUUAAUUUCCCACAUACGAAGCCACUCUCUGGAAAUAAAAAACGCAAAUCCAAAACUUUAAGUCAGAACGAGAUGCAGAAAGACAUCACAG